GGUGAAACGGGAAAAUGGUGUGUGGCAGGGUUUCAUCGCAGUAAGCGGGGAGUGGGGGGGAAGGUGUUGUGCGUACUGCCUGACCCACGGGGAGAACAACGCGGCUCAGACGGUUCCCAUAGGCCUGCUGGUUGCAAGGCAGGGCCCAGCCCGGUGAGAAGCCACUGGCCUGCACCCCAGUGAGGGCCCGUGGCCUGGAAGCCCGUGGCAGUCCCGGGGCCGGAGCCAUCUGCUUCCCGCUGGGCAGUCCAGGCGUCCCCACCGCACUCCCCUCCUGGAGCCCCUCUGGGUGCCCCUGACUCGGUCCCAGGAGACUCCCUGCACACGGCAGCAGGGAGGGGCAGGAGCAAGAAGAGGCCCCAGCCCACCCGACUUCCAGUUUCCCAAGGGCCGAGCCCGCCCUGGGGCAGCCCUCACGUGCUGGCCCUGCCACACCGCGGAGGACAGGGACCUGCCCGCUGCGCCCAGCUGAGGACCACCCACAGCCCCUGUCACGGGUUAGCAGUUGAAAGUACAGAAUCGAGCCGACAGGACAAACAGCGAUUUUCUGCGUGGCUCCACGGUACCAAGGGCAUGUGCUACUGCAAACUCUCCGGAUGAUGAGCAUGUUUAGGAUAACUCGGAGAUUGGGAUGAUUUCUGAUUUUCACGCCCCCUCCAACCCAGCGGCCCACGGUAAUCUGCUGAAGCCUGGGGAACAGUGAGAGCAGCCAGGGGCGGUAGUUGGGGGCAGCAGUGGGGGCCCGGGGUCAGGGUUCACUGUCCAGCCCCGUGAGUGCUGAGUGCCCCGGGCGGGGGCAUGCUUCACUGUCCAGCUCCGUGAGUGCCCCUGGUGGGGCAGGGUUCACUGUCCAGCUCUGUGAGUGCCCCUGGUGGGGCAGGGUUCACUGUCCAGCCCUGUGAGUGCCCCUGGUGGGGCAGGGUUCACUGUCCAGCCCUGUGAGUGCCCCUGGUGAGGCAGGGUUCACUGUCCAGCCCUGUGAGUGCCCCUGGUGGGGCAGCGUUUACUGUCCAGCUCCGUGAGUGCCGAGUUGGGGCAGGGUUCACUGUCCAGUCCUGGGCACUCCGCCCUACACUGCUAUCCCAGCUAAAAGGUGAUGCUUCUCUGAGCCAUUCUUUGGCCAAUACCGGCCUCCCCACCUGACGGACAGCCUCAUGAGCACCUGCACUGCUGUAGCUUUUCACGGGUUUUUUUUUUUUUUUUUUUGCUCCUGAUUUUAUCCUUGUCAUCUCCUUUCUUUCCUUUAACCCUGAAAUUUCUUUUCUCCAGGAAUCAGCCAAGUUCCUUCUUCUGCUACAGCACCCAUCCCAAUUCACCAACUCUGGCUUGGGUGGGUGGGUGGGUAGGUGGAUUUGAGGAAGGAAGGAUGGAUGGAGGGAAGGUUGGAUGGGUGGAGGGAUGGGUGGCUGGAUCUGUCGUUGGAGGAUCCGUCGUUGAGUGGUUUGGCAGGUUGUUCAGAUAAAAGAAGUAUGUAAGCUUGGUACGAUCGA
rnacentral:lncRNA from 1 species